rnacentral:lncRNA from 1 species
CAUGUCCUCACUAUCUACCAGAACCUGUGCCUUGUAGGAUCUCAUUCUGGCCUCCUAAUAUCCCUUUUGAGUUGAUGUUUAAGAGUCUCAUUUUAUAGAUGAGCAAACUGAGUGUCAGAGACCAUGCCCAGGGCAUAGCACUCUUGGUAGGGAGCAGCAGAGCCAGGCAUUGAGAUGAGUGUAUCUGCUGCCUAGCCCUCUGCUGUCUUCCCCUCUACUCUCCUGUCUGCAUUGGUUGGCCCCUGGUUUUAUAUGGUUAUUCUUCCUCCCCACCCCACUCUCCUUCCAGGUCCAGGAGCUGAUCAUCAACAAAGAUCCCACACUACUGGACAACUUCCUGGACGAGAUCAUCGCAUUCCAAGCAGACAAGUCAAUCGAAGUACGAAAAUUUGUCAUCGGCUUCAUCGAGGAGGCAUGGUAUGGGGUGAGGCAGGGAGCCCCAGGAGCAUUCUCACUGGAGGCAGCCUUCAGGUCCUGGCCUGGUCUGGAGGCCACCACUGAGAGGCCUGCCUUCUGCUUCCCAGACCCUUUCUCUCUCUCUUGCACACUGAUUCCCCAGUAAAUAUUUAGUAAGAUCGAAACCCUGGGGUCAUCUAUGAUUCCUCUGGUUCUUCCACACUUCACAUCUACAUCGUCACUAAGGACUGUGGGCUCUACUUUGAGAAUAUCUGCAGCAUCUGACCAUUUGUCAAUCGCUUCCUCUACCACUACACAGACCCAAGCCACCCUUCCCG